UGACAAAUCAACGGAGUAUAGGGGCAGAGGCGGCUCUAGACUUUGUGAGGCCUUAGGCGACACUCGAACAUGAGGCCCCCACGAACACAAGAUAUGCAAGCGAUAAUAAAGAUUAACU